AGUGAACGCUGGCGGUAGGCCUAACACAUGCAAGUCGAACGGCAGCACCGUAAGAGCUUGCUCUUACGGGUGGCGAGUGGCGGACGGGUGCGGAAUACAUCGGAAUCUACUUUUUCGUGGGGGCUAACGUAGGGAAACUUACGCUAAUACCGCAUACGACCUACGGGUGAAAGCAGGGGAUCUUCGGACCUUGCGCGAUUGAAUGAGCCGAUGUCGGAUUAGCUAGUUGGCGGGGUAAAGGCCCACCAAGGCGACGAUCCGUAGCUGGUCUGAGAGGAUGAUCAGCCACACGGGAACUGAGACACGGCCCAGACUCCUACGGGAGGCAGCAGUGGGGAAUAUUGGACAAUGGGCGCAAGCCUGAUCCAGCCAUACCGCGUGGGUGAAGAAGGACUUCGGGUUGUAAAGCCCUUUUGUUGGGGAAGAAAAGCAGCAGGUUAAUACCCCGCUGUUCUGACGGUACCCAAAGAAUAAGCACCGGCUAACUUCGUG
rnacentral:rRNA from 1 species